AGAGUUUGAUCCUGGCUCAGAACGAACGUUGGCGGCGUGCCUAAUACAUGCAAGUCGUGCGAGAAACAGAUCCUUCGGGAUCUGGAGUAAAGCGGCGAAAGGGUGAGUAAUACGUGGAUAACCUACCCCCGAGACCGGGAUAACCCAAGGAAACUUGGGCUAAUACCGGAUACGGUCCCGGAUACGCCUGUAACCGGGAUUAAAACGUACCGAAAGGUCCGUGCUUGAGGAGGGGUCCACGGCCUAUCAGCUUGUUGGUGGGGUAGCGGCCCACCAAGGCUAUGACGGGUAGCCGGACUGAGAGGUUGGUCGGCCACAUAGGCACUGAGACACGGGCCCAACACCUACGGGUGGCAGCAGUAGGGAAUCUUGCGCAAUGGGCGAAAGCCUGACGCAGCGACGCCGCGUGGGGGACGAAGGCCCUCGGGUUGUAAACCCCUUUUCUGAGGGACGAACACUGACGGUACCUCAGGAAUAAGCACCGGCUAACUCCGUGCCAGCAGCUGCGGUAAUACGGAGGGUGCAAACGUUGUUCGGAAUCACUGGGCGUAAAGGGUCCGUAGGCGGCUCGGCAAAUCGGUUGUGCAAUCCCGGCGCCUACCGUCGGAACUGCAGCCGAAAAUACCGGGCUUGAGGUCGUCAGGGGCGAGUGGAACUCCUGGUGGGGCGGUGAAAUGCGUAGAUAUCAGGAGGAACGCCGGAGGCGAAAGCGACUCGCUGGGACGAUUCUGACGCUGAGGGACGAAAGCUAGGGGAGCAAACAGGAUUAGAUACCCUGGUAGUCCUAGCCGUAAACGAUGAGGACUAAGUGGAGGGGGCUUCGGUUCUCUCUGCUGCAGCUAACGCAUUAAGUCCUCCGCCUGGGGACUACGGCCGCAAGGUUAAGACUCAAAGGAAUUGACGGGGGCUCGCACAAGCGGUGGAGCAUGUGGUUCAAUUCGAUUCGACGCGAAGAACCUUACCCGGGCUUGAAGUGCUGGUGGUACCGAUCUGAAAAGUGAGGGACCCUUCACGGGGAGCCAGCAUCAGGUGUUGCAUGGCUGUCGUCAGCUCGUGUCGUGAGAUGUUGGGUUAAGUCCCGUAACGAGCGAAACCCUUGCCACUAGUUGCUACCCUUCGGGGGCACUUUAGUGGGACUGCCCGUGUCGAAUGGGAGGAAGGUGGGGAUGACGUCAAGUCAUCAUGGCCCUUAUGUCCGGGGCUACACACGCGCUACAAUGGCGUGGACAAAGGGUUGCCAACCCGCGAGGGGGAGCUAAUCCCAUCAAACCACGCCCCAGUUCGGAUCGGAGGCUGCAAUUCGCCUCCGUGAAGUUGGAAUCGCUAGUAAUCGCGGAUCAGCUACGCCGCGGUGAAUAUGUUCCCGAGCCUUGUACACACCGCCCGUCAAGCCACCCAAGCAUGGGGUACCUGAAGUCCGUUCCCCAACUCAUUCUGUGGGAGGGUGCGGCCCAAGGUAAAACGUGUGAGGAGGGCUAAGUCGUAACAAGGUA
rnacentral:rRNA from 1 species